rnacentral:rRNA from 1 species
AGUGAACGCUGGCGGCAGGCCUAAUACAUGCAAGUCGAACGGCAGCACAGUGGAGCUUGCUCCAUGGGUGGCGAGUGGCGGACGGGUGAGGAAUACAUGGGAAUCUGCCCAGUCGUGGGGGAUAACGUAGGGAAACUUACGCUAAUACCGCAUGCGCCCUUCGGGGGAAAGCCGGGGACCGUAAGGCCUGGCGCGAUUGGAUGAGCCCAUGUCGGAUUAGCUAGUUGGCGGGGUAACGGCCCACCAAGGCGACGAUCCGUAGCUGGUCUGAGAGGAUGAUCAGCCACACUGGAACUGAGACACGGUCCAGACUCCUACGGGAGGCAGCAGUAGGGAAUAUUGGACAAUGGGCGCAAAGCCUGAUCCAGCCAUGCCGCGUGAGUGAAGAAGGCCCUCGGGUUGUAAAGCUCUUUUGUCCGGAAAGAAAAGCAACUGGGUUAAUACCCCGGUGUCCUGACGGUACCGGAAGAAUAAGCACCGGCUAAACUUCGUGCCAGCAG